UACGGAGGGGGCUAGCGUUGUUCGGAAUUACUGGGCGUAAAGCGCACGUAGGCGGCUUUGUAAGUUAGAGGUGAAAGCCCAGGGCUUAACCUUGGAAUUGCCUUUAAGACUGCAUCGCUAGAAUUGUGGAGAGGUAAGUGGAAUUCCGAGUGUAGAGGUGAAAUUCGUAGAUAUUCGGAAGAACACCAGUGGCGAAGGCGACUUACUGGACACAUAUUGACGCUGAGGUGCGAAAGCGUGGGGAGCAAACAGG
rnacentral:rRNA from 1 species